GAUGAACGCUGGCGGCGUGCCUAAUACAUGCAAGUCGAGCGAACAGACGAGGAGCUUGCUCCUCUGACGUUAGCGGCGGACGGGUGAGUCACACGUGGAUAACCUACCUAUAAGACUGGGAUAACUUCGGGAAACCGGAGCUAAUACCGGAUAAUAUAUUGAACCGCAUGGUUCAAUAGUGAAAGACGGUUUUGCUGUCACUUAUAGAUGGAUCCGCGCCGCAUUUGCUAGUUGGUAAGUUAACGGCUUACCAAGGCUACGAUGCGUAGCCGACCUGGGUGGAUGGUACGCCCCACUGGAACCUGGCCACCGGCCAGACCCCUAAGGGAGGGCGCAGUGGGGAAUAUUGGCCAAGGGGGGGAAACCCUAACGGAGCAACGCGGGUGGGUGAAUGAGGUCUUCCGAUUGUAAAGACCUUUUUUUUGGGGGAAAACAAAGUUGGAAGAAACUUUGCUGGUUUGACGGUAACAAAAUAAGAAGCCCCCGCUAAAUUCGUG
rnacentral:rRNA from 1 species